GACGAACGCUGGCGGCGUGCUUAAUACAUGCAAGUCGAACGGAAAGGCCCUGCUUUUGUGGGGUGCUCGAGUGGCGAACGGGUGAGUAACACGUGAGUAACCUGCCCUUGACUUUGGGAUAACUUCAGGAAACUGGGGCUAAUACCGGAUAGGAGCUCCUGCUGCAUGGUGGGGGUUGGAAAGUUUCGGCGGUUGGGGAUGGACUCGCGGCUUAUCAGCUUGUUGGUGGGGUAGUGGCUUACCAAGGCUUUGACGGGUAGCCGACCUGAGAGGGUGACCGGCCACAUUGGGACUGAGAUACGGCCCAGACUCCUACGGGAGGCAGCAGUGGGGAAUAUUGCACAAUGGGCGGAAGCCUGAUGCAGCAACGCCGCGUGCGGGAUGACGGCCUUCGGGUUGUAAACCGCUUUCGCCUGUGACGAAGCGUGAGUGACGGUAAUGGGUAAAGAAGCACCGGCUAACUACGUG
rnacentral:rRNA from 1 species